rnacentral:rRNA from 1 species
AGCGUACACGGUGGAUGCCCUGGCAGUCAGAGGCGAUGAAGGGCGUGCUAAUCUGCGAUAAGCGCCGGUAAGGUGAUAUGAACCGUUAUAACCGGCGAUACCCGAAUGGGGAAACCCAGUGUGAUUCGUCACACUAUCAUUAACUGAAUCCAUAGGUUAAUGAGGCGAACCGGGGGAACUGAAACAUCUAAGUACCCCGAGGAAAAGAAAUCAACCGAGAUUCCCCCAGUAGCGGCGAGCGAACGGGGAGGAGCCCAGAGCCUGAAUCAGCAUGUGUGUUAGUGGAAGCGUCUGGAAAGGCGCGCGAUACAGGGUGACAGCCCCGUACACAAAAGCGCAUGUGCUGUGAGCUCGAUGAGUAGGGCGGGACACGUGGUAUCCUGUCUGAAUAUGGGGGGACCAUCCUCCAAGGCUAAAUACUCCUGACUGACCGAUAGUGAACCAGUACCGUGAGGGAAAGGCGAAAAGAACCCCGGCGAGGGGAGUGAAAAAGAACCUGAAACCGUGUACGUACAAGCAGUGGGAGCACAGGUUUACCUGUGUGACUGCGUACCUUUUGUAUAAUGGGUCAGCGACUUAUAUUCUGUAGCAAGGUUAACCGUAUAGGGGAGCCGCAGGGAAACCGAGUCUUAACCGGGCGUUAAGUUGCAGGGUAUAGACCCGAAACCCGGUGAUCUAGCCAUGGGCAGGUUGAAGGUUGGGUAACACUAACUGGAGGACCGAACCGACUAAUGUUGAAAAAUUAGCGGAUGACCUGUGGCUGGGGGUGAAAGGCCAAUCAAACCGGGAGAUAGCUGGUUCUCCCCGAAAGCUAUUUAGGUAGCGCCUCGUGAAUUCAUCUCCGGGGGUAGAGCACUGUUUCGGCUAGGGGGCCAUCCCGGCUUACCAACCCGAUGCAAACUGCGAAUACCGGAGAAUGUUAUCACGGGAGACACACGGCGGGUGCUAACGUCCGUCGUGAAGAGGGAAACAACCCAGACCGCCAGCUAAGGUCCCAAAGUCAUGGUUAAGUGGGAAACGAUGUGGGAAGGCCCAGACAGCCAGGAUGUUGGCUUAGAAGCAGCCAUCAUUUAAAGAAAGCGUAAUAGCUCACUGGUCGAGUCGGCCUGCGCGGAAGAUGUAACGGGGCUAAACCAUGCACCGAAGCUGCGGCAGCGAACGUAUCACUUAAAGCGAUUCAGCGGGUUACGAUUGACGGAGCGAAGCGACGUCAAAGCGUAUACAAAGUCGAGUCGGUUUAAGGAUACGUUCGUUGGGUAGGGGAGCGUUCUGUAAGCCUGUGAAGGUGGCCUGUGAGGGUUGCUGGAGGUAUCAGAAGUGCGAAUGCUGACAUAAGUAACGAUAAAGCGGGUGAAAAGCCCGCUCGCCGGAAGACCAAGGGUUCCUGUCCAACGUUAAUCGGGGCAGGGUGAGUCGACCCCUAAGGCGAGGCCGAAAGGCGUAGUCGAUGGGAAACGGGUUAAUAUUCCCGUACUUGGUGUUACUGCGAAGGGGGGACGGAGAAGGCUAUGUUGGCCGGGCGACGGUUGUCCCGGUUUAAGCGUGUAGGUGUGUGUUCCAGGUAAAUCCGGUUCACUUUAACACUGAGGCGUGAUGACGAGGCACUACGGUGCUGAAGCAACAAAUGCCCUGCUUCCAGGAAAAGCCUCUAAGCAUCAGGUAACAUCAAAUCGUACCCCAAACCGACACAGGUGGUCAGGUAGAGAAUACCAAGGCGCUUGAGAGAACUCGGGUGAAGGAACUAGGCAAAAUGGUGCCGUAACUUCGGGAGAAGGCACGCUGACAUGUAGGUGAAGUGAUUUACUCAUGGAGCUGAAGUCAGUCGAAGAUACCAGCUGGCUGCAACUGUUUAUUAAAAACACAGCACUGUGCAAACACGAAAGUGGACGUAUACGGUGUGACGCCUGCCCGGUGCCGGAAGGUUAAUUGAUGGGGUCAGCGCAAGCGAAGCUCCUGAUCGAAGCCCCGGUAAACGGCGGCCGUAACUAUAACGGUCCUAAGGUAGCGAAAUUCCUUGUCGGGUAAGUUCCGACCUGCACGAAUGGCGUAAUGAUGGCCAGGCUGUCUCCACCCGAGACUCAGUGAAAUUGAACUCGCUGUGAAGAUGCAGUGUACCCGCGGCAAGACGGAAAGACCCCGUGAACCUUUACUAUAGCUUGACACUGAACAUUGAGCCUUGAUGUGUAGGAUAGGUGGGAGGCUUUGAAGCGUGGACGCCAGUCUGCGUGGAGCCGGCCUUGAAAUACCACCCUUUAAUGUUUGAUGUUCUAACGUGGACCCGUGAUCCGGGUUGCGGACAGUGUCUGGUGGGUAGUUUGACUGGGGCGGUCUCCUCCUAAAGAGUAACGGAGGAGCACGAAGGUUGGCUAAUCCUGGUCGGACAUCAGGAGGUUAGUGCAAUGGCAUAAGCCAGCUUGACUGCGAGCGUGACGGCGCGAGCAGGUGCGAAAGCAGGUCAUAGUGAUCCGGUGGUUCUGAAUGGAAGGGCCAUCGCUCAACGGAUAAAAGGUACUCCGGGGAUAACAGGCUGAUACCGCCCAAGAGUUCAUAUCGACGGCGGUGUUUGGCACCUCGAUGUCGGCUCAUCACAUCCUGGGGCUGAAGUAGGUCCCAAGGGUAUGGCUGUUCGCCAUUUAAAGUGGUACGCGAGCUGGGUUUAGAACGUCGUGAGACAGUUCGGUCCCUAUCUGCCGUGGGCGCUGGAGAACUGAGGGGGGCUGCUCCUAGUACGAGAGGACCGGAGUGGACGCAUCACUGGUGUUCGGGUUGUCAUGCCAAUGGCACUGCCCGGUAGCUAAAUGCGGAAGAGAUAAGUGCUGAAAGCAUCUAAGCACGAAACUUGCCCCGAGAUGAGUUCU